UAAUUUUUGAACGUUCCCCAAGAUCGCACUGGUUGUGACGGCGGUACCCGUAUGCGGUAUAGACACUAUAGAUUCCAUAGACUCGCGGAGACAUGGUUGAGCAAUACGAUUUUAGUGUGUUUUUCCGUGAAUUUAGAGUGUACCGAGCGAAUAUGACGUCACGCAAUCCAUUGUCGCUAUUGAAAUCGUGACGUCAUGCUCGUUUGGCUACACGAACUGACAGUUCGUUUGGCUACAGUAGUCUUCGCCUUCGCGAGUCUAUGGAAUCUAUAGUGUCUAUAGUAUGCGGAUGAAACAAACAGAGCCCACGAAUGUAGCACGCGGAUGUUUUUUUUUCUGCACACGGCGCAUGUGUUGUUGACUAUGCUUGAUGGAUUAUAUUUUUAGUGGGGAGUCAAAGGAUAAACGAAUUUCAUGUUUACUGCUAAUAGAAUUAAACUUCACAAAAUUUGAUAUUCUAUAAGUAAGCUCACAAAUCAAUUUUGAACUGGCACAUUUGACUGAUUCAAUACGUUAGCAAAUGUUGAACAAUUUUGAUUUUAAAGUAAGUGGAUUGAUCGGGUGGUUGUGAGCCAAGAUAUAUUCUUUAUCUGAUGAUCCUUAUGUUGUCAAAAACACUUAUCCUAAUUCGAUGUCUAAUUCGAUGUCGUGUUUGAGAUGAAACUAGAUUAGUUGAAAAAGCAUAACAAAGUUCAUACAAACAAAAAAUAAUAUGCAAUAAUAAUCAAAUAUUUUUUUGUGCAGGCUCAACUAAAUUUGGAUGUGGUUGCAACGGCGAGUUUAUUGAAUUUCACUCAUUGAAAAUGAAAAUUUAAAACUCAAUCACGAUAACAACAUAAGUCAUAAUCAUUCAUCUGUUUCGCUUUGUAUUAGGCAGAUGUUUAUAGAAUUCGGCAUACUUUUUUUCAAGUUCGACAUAAAAACAUAAAAAAAGUAUGAGAAUGUGUAAUACGAUGUUAUUUAUAUUCUCGACAAACAAAACAAACAAAAAUGUUGAACAUGUAGCCGAAAAGGUCACGAGUCGCCCCUGGUUUCAAAAGUGCAGGAUGUCAGUGAGGAAACAUUUCAUUUUGAUCCUGGAAAAUUGUUGACGAAUUGUUUGUAAAUAGGUAUAUAAAGAGAAUAAUCAAGCACGACACUAGAUAACAUACUGUUAUGUAACGGCCACUGGCACACACUAUAUACAUCCCGUUAUGGAUGACAUUUAUGAAUAUGUUUUUAUAAUGCCUUAGAGUUAUCGACGGAAAAGCGUUCAAGAAAAUAAAGUCGAAUUGGUUGUAUAAAAUAAGAUUCACAACUUUGACAAAUCAUGAAGAAUUAUUGCUAUACAUCUGAAUAGUGGUGUUUUUCCCUUUGACUGUUGAAGCGAGGUAGCUGAAGUGAUUGAACAAUUAGUUAAAGCUUUGAGACACGAAAUAUGCACAAUUGAUUUGUCUUUUGUUUCACAAUGAAGUAGUAAGAAGAAAUGGAGGUCUGAUGGUCGAUAUUUGUAUUCAUAAAAGUGUCAGAACUGUUGAGUGUUUUGCAUGUCCGAGUUUUCUAGAGAUGAUUCAAUUAUUGCAUUGAACUGCUGAAUAGUGACGGUUGAAUAUUGAUUUAUAUAGAAAUGAGUUAACAGAGCUUAUAGGAUUAGGCAGUGGAAGUAUUUCAGGCAAAUAUCAAAUAACUAUAUGCAUGAGCGAAUAUAGAUUAAAGAAAGGGGGAUGUGGUGACGAGUGCCUUACUCAUUCAUGUGCUUAUGCUGAAAUAACAUUCUUCACUGCACUCGCAUCCAUGCGCACCUGAGUUGUGGUACGAUCGCCCACACACACUCUGCAACGUGGCAGUAUAGCGCUUAGUCUUUGACGCACGCUCAAGCUUAUCACACGCGAUUACCACACGUGGGAAUGAAUUUUUAGUUAUUUUUACGAUAUUUGGGAAUGGUAAAAUUAAACAUAGUGCCGUGGUUCGCAGUACUAUACUUUUUUUUUCUCAGUGUAGGAUAGAGAACGUAAUCUUUCAGAAGCAGUUCACCAGCCGUGCACGGAACAUGUCGUAAGACACUGACACUGUCUGCGUACUGACUCAGAAGGUUACGGUAAGAAGGUGUGAAAGUUCCGGUUUUGUCAUAUGGUCGAUUUUGUAUUUGUUUUAAGGCUCCCCCAAACCAAGGCGACUUUUCCAGCGACACGAUUUUUUAUCGCCGCGAUUUUUCUCAACGACUACAGCGAUAAAUGCGUCGCAUCAACCAUCUACACCAACGCGAAAACUAGUCACAAACAAAACUUAGUCGCCCCGCGACAGCGACGAAAACUGUGCAUGCAGCAAUCAGCGCCGCGACACACCGGCGACAAGUACAAAAAUCGCUGCACUGUCGCUUGUCGCCUGCGAUGACGUCGUCGCAGUGUGGAAGGUCCCCUUCAAAUAAGUGCGCAGCGAUUUCGCGACAAAAACAUUGCGACAAAAAGUCGUGUCGCUGGAAAAGAGUCGCGUCGGUUUGGGGGAGCCUUUAUUCGUCAUGUCAAGGUUUGAAGAAUGCUAUUGUUCAUAUGUAUUAGAAAAUUACUAAUUAUUUCAUAUUUGAAUUAAAUUUGUAUUUGUAUUGCGUAUUUGUUAAAAUUAACCGAAUACAUAGUGGGAAGCCCAGGAAACAGUUCAAAGUCUGCUGACUCAAAAAAGAUUCCGAGACUCGUCACAAAACACAAAAAAUUGCAUUAUGAUUCACAACGACUCUCGAAACCUUCCCAGACUCAAUCGACCGCAACUGUUUUCUGGGUAUAGAAACUACUAGGCCCGAGCAGGUCCCUCCUGUUUAUCGAGCAUUUCUGGUAAAUCAGCCAUACUCCAUAUGUAGCAGCCGGUUCACAAUGAACCGUUGGAGGCGCAUUAAGGUGAAUAUAUAACGAAGCCACACCUAAAAUUUUCAAAAGCACAAAUCUGAAGAACCGUGGGUUGGUUUGCGCUGAAAAGUUGAUCGAUUGGUCACCACCAGCGGGUCAGUAAUCGAUCAACUUUUCAGCGCAAUCCGUCUUUUGGUUCCUCAAAUUUGUGCUCUUGAAAAUUCGAGGUGUGGCUUCGUUAUAUAUUCACGUAUUCACCUUAAGUGAUAAAGGUGAUAUUUUUAUUACAAGAAUUACAAUUAACAUUCUUCACUUUAAUGCCGUCGAACCCUGUGAUCUUAGCCAGGGGAAACCCUGGAGAAAUUUCUAAAUGUAUCCCGUGAGAAAUCAAUGAUGCAAUCCAGGAAGAGUCCCUACCCGGAUAAAAACUAACCAUAGGGUGUAUGGUGAAAACCAUUCCUGCACCAUACAGUGUACCAGCUACAAUAAAGUGUAUUGUGAUGAAAUGGUUUGCUAUACUAUACAUUUACAUUGGAUUUUUAUGUAACAAUAUAUUAUACUGUUUUUCUUACGUUUGAACCAUUCACUUUUCCGAAACAUUAUUUUUCCGUGAAUUUUUAAUUAUUUCUGGUGUUCGAUUUGAAUAGUUUAACAUUUUUUCCGUGCUUUAUUUUGUUGAUGUUUGUGACUUUUUUGAUGCAAAGGAAAGCUUUCAUAGGAAAGAGAAAAAAGUGAAUAAGUUGAAACAUCAAUUGAAAAUCAAUAACAUGUUUAAAUCAGUGGUAAACCAAAUGUCCUAUUCUAAGAACUGCAGGUCCAAGCAGGGGUCCAAGAGAUAUGGUGGGCUAGGUGUGUAGAGUGCGAUGAGAGAAAUACGAAUGAAGGCCAACCCGGAAUGAUGCAGGUCAGAUUACCGUAAAUCAGUGGAUGAGUUCAACACUAUUAUUUCUGUAUUUGCAUUUAGGGGAAUUUUCUCCUCUUCUCUCAUGUGAACUUGCGUUCGACCACAAUCGAAUCAAAUGCGAUUGACAAACUUUAUCUUUGACGUAGAGCCAUCUUUAACACAUAGACUGGACUGAACACUGAAUUGACUUUUAAUAUAGCUUCGUCUGCGGGUUCGCUUUUUAACCUAACUUAUACUUGAAUCGAACUUGACAGUUUUCUCAUGAGUUGUUAUGUAUUUCCGUGUAUUUCAAACUUUAGUCAAACUGGAGCCUCAAUAUUGCAAUAACGGUUAAGCACGCUGUAAUGAUACUUAUGUACCUCGUCACCCACUUCAUGCAACUACAUUAGUGGUCUAAUAAUACUUAGCGCGCUCGGCAUAGUUCCAUCAUGCCGCUCAAAGUGUUGCCACAAAUAAUGCUUAGUUUGCGAAACCCAGUUAUCUGGCUGGUGGGGCAUGGGAGCCUAAGCUUCAACUGUUAAUGCAAUCAGAGAUUACUCAGACCUCGACUCAGACUUAGACGUGGGCGAUCCAAUGUGAAGGGUUAUCCAAAACGCUCUGGAGAAUUCCCAAAGCGCAUUCUCCGCAUUCUCAUAAUGCUAGUAAGCCUAAGAUGCCAUUAACAAGAGGAAAAUGACAAGAUAAUAUAACAUUAUAUGGAUUAUGUAAUGUAAACCAAUACAACAUAACAAAAGAGAACCAUUCCAAAACCAUUUAAUUAAAUGUAUAACCAGUAGUGAAACUACAAUUGAAAACAAUAUAUUUACGGUACAUUUUAUUGUUUGAAACCAUAUGUGUACAAUACAAUGUACGGUUUAUUAAAACCCACGUAUCAGUAUUUAUAACAAUUCAUUUACAAUAUAAUGUAUGGUUUUGCAAAAAAAUAUAUAUGGAGAAAAAUAUUUUUUUAUAUUGUUACGAUACUUAACCACCCGUAUAGUAUAUUGUAAAAAUCUUAUUUACAAUAUACUGUAUUAGGUUCUACAUUACAUUUUAUUGUUUUUGUAUUUUUAUUUUUACAGUGGUGUCUAUUGUAAAAAUAUGGUUUUAAAUAGUACUGUUACAAUACAACGUUCGGUUUUUCUACUGUAUUUUUUAUUCGGGUACCCAAGUAACCAAAAGUUCAGAUAAAAGGGUACUUUAUAAGCUAAGCAGCAAGUUCGAGGCUGCUCAUUAGCCUUCUAAGCAGCUUCAAGUAAUUUUGGAACUUGAAAGUUCACAUAAGCACACUGGAUAGCCUUCUAAGCAGCUUCUGACAGAACUUUGACAAAAUUCAUGCAGAAAAAAAAUGUGAUUUUCAGAAUCACAACCCCAUCCCCCACCCUGUUUGGUGGGUUUGUGAUUCAUGUCUGGAAAUUGCUUCUGAUAAUUAUAUUUUCACACAGGAUGCUGCUAUGUAGAUUUGAACUGGAUCCUCCUGCGUGAUAGCCUGCCGACUUACCGCUGCGCUACUGGAGACACUUGAUAAUGUAAAGCUAACUUCACUACUGUACAAAUGUGCAAAAUUAGCUGCCGACAGAAAAUCGAUUCAAGUCAGACUUCACCUGCUGUUCACUCAACCACAAGUGUAGUACUGUGGUAGAGCGCAGGAUUCUCACGCAGCGACUAUCGGUUCGAAUCCGAUGGGCGGCAAUUUUUUUUUGCUCAAGCCGAGUAUUCGUUGAUUUGAUAAAUUCAUAUUUGUCUUUUAUUCGUGUAUGCUCAAACAGUUGUUUUCUGUAAAAAAAAUAAAUUUAAUCCUCAUUGAAACACAAUGCUACUGAACUGAACUUCUAUGAACUUAAAAGUUCCGACAAAGUUCCGAGUAGCAUCUUAAGCAGCUUUAAAGUUCCGCGAAGUUCAGAUAAAGUUCCAAACGGAACUUUCUGGCUGCUUAAGAGGCUAACAAUGAGCCUUGUCGGAACUUGUGACCGAAGUUCCAGCAAGGCUCAUCGUUAGCCUCUUAAGCAGCCAGAAAGUUCCAUUUGGAACUUUAUCUGAAUUUCGCGGAACUUGAAAGUGCAUUUUGUCAUGGGAAGCGGAACUUUUGGUUACUUGGGUAGAAGUAUCAUUCAAUGAAUCUCUGCAGGAAUAUUUGUAUGAAUGCUUAAAUUAAUCUUGGAUUAAAUCCCUAAUCCGCGUUGGAAAUGCCUGAAGGAAUCCCGGAGGACAACCUAGGAACACUCCUGAAGGAAUUCUUAAUGGAGUCUCAGGAAUAUUUGACGAAAAAACCCGCAAGGAAAUCUGGGAGAAAUAUCUAAAGGAAUCGCCAGAGAAAUCAAUGAUGGAAUCUCGAGAAGAAUCUCUGAUUGAAUGUUAAAAAAAUAUCUCUGAAAGAAUUCUGCGAAGAUCUCACCUAAAGGAAUUUCGGGAAUGAAUGAAACAAUCCCAGGAGCAAAUCCUAAUGAAUUAAAACAAAUACUGAAGGAAUCCUUCUCUGAAUCGCUCUAGUAAUCCUAGGAGAAAUUCCUAAAGGAAAUCGAGAACGGAAUCCCGGAAAAAAGCUUGAGCUUGAUUGACCAAAGCGGAUUCUACUCCAGUAUCGCCAGACCAGCUACACUCACACAAGGAACCAAUGAGAUAUCUGUCGGGGACUCAGUAGACAUCUUCAGUGUGUGAGCGUUGGUGAUCUUCUAUUUUUAGGCGAAAAUGGCGCCUGCUACAUCAGGUUGCAGGUCAACGUGGGGAAGUGGAAGGAAGUGAUGAUUGGGAUGAUUGCAAUAGUUUUUAUCCACAUUAGACCGAAUAUUCCUCUGCGUCUGCACAAAUUCAUGCGGAUGACGGAGUGUUGGUAAGGUAUGGUAGGCAGAGGGUUCACACAUCGGUGCGUGGCUGCCAGGCGUAAGGUGAUAGAUUAGUGUAUUUAUUACUCUGUAGGUAUUGCGGCACAGUUCGCUUGAUUGCAUAACUCGUAGGCGUUAUAUGUUAGAAUGAUACUGAGCUUCUUCUUCUUCUUGGCGUAACAUCCUCACUGGGACAAAGCCUGCUUCUCAGCUUAGUGUUCUAUGAGCACUUCCACAGUUAUUAACUGAGAGCUUCCUCUGCCAACACGCAGAAAAAUGGCGCUUGUUUAAAACAAUAAAACGCAUGGUUGAUUUUCAAACUGAGAAUUUACUUAUUCCAAAGCUAUAUUUCUUUGUUUUCAUUUAGAGUUUAUCGAUAAAAACAACCGAUUACCAUCAUUUCAUACAACGUCAAUAAUUUCAUUUGUUUCAACAAAAUAAAAACCAUAAACAUGGUCCGAAAGCACUCACACAUCUUUAAAAUGCUUACCCCAACAUCGCCACAACGAAGAAGGUGUAGCAAAUCCAUCACGCCAACUUCCAAGUGCAGCUUUGGCCGUGAUGAAUAACGCGCAGGUACUCACGACAGCAUCCACAAAAAGUUGCCCGGUUUCGCCUUUUUUGUCUUUUUUUAGUCGAUCUCCUCCCCAUCCGCUUACCGACGGUCUAAAAAUAGAUAUCCGAGCUGCCGCUGCAGCUGCCGUCACCAACACAAUCACAUUCCGGGUUUGUUAGUUGCAAAAGUGCAGUCGUUUGAAUCAAUCCAUUAUUGCAUGUUGAAAAUA